GGCACAUUGGCGCAGUGGUUAGCGCGAUGCCCUGCUAAGGCAUCUCCCUCGGGAGCGUGUGUUCGAAUCACACAGGUGUCG
rnacentral:tRNA from 1 species